rnacentral:rRNA from 1 species
CCUACGGGAGGCAGCAGUGAGGAAUAUUGGUCAAUGGACGAGAGUCUGAACCAGCCAAGUAGCGUGAAGGAUGACUGCCCUAUGGGUUGUAAACUUCUUUUAUAUGGGAAUAAAAUGUUCCACGUGUAGGAUUUUGUAUGUACCAUAUGAAUAAGGAUCGGCUAACUCCGUGCCAGCAGCCGCGGUAAUACGGAGGAUCCGAGCGUUAUCCGGGUUUAUUGGGUUUAAAGGGGGCGUAGGUGGAUUGUUAAGUCAGUUGUGAAAGUUUGCGGCUCAAACGUAAAAUUGCAGUUAAAACUGGAAGUCUUGAGUACAGAAGAGGUGGGCGGAAUUCGUGGUGUAGCGGUGAAAUGCUUAGAUAUAACGAAGAACUCCGAUUGCGAAGGCAGUUCACUGGACUGCAACUGACACUGAGGCUCGAAAGUGUGGGUAUCAAACAGGAUUAGAUACCCUGGUAGUC